rnacentral:rRNA from 1 species
AAUUUGAAAUGACUGAGCGGCGGACGGGUGAGUAACGCGUGGGUAACCUGCCUCAUACAGGGGGAUAACAGUUAGAAAUGACUGCUAAUACCGCAUAAGCACACAGUACCGCAUGGUACAGAGUGAAAAACUCCGGUGGUAUGAGAUGGACCCGCGUCUGAUUAGCUGGUUGGCGGGGUAACGGCCCACCAAGGCGACGAUCAGUAGCCGACCUGAGAGGGUGACCGGCCACAUUGGGACUGAGACACGGCCCAAACUCCUACGGGAGGCAGCAGUGGGGAAUAUUGCACAAUGGGGGAAACCCUGAUGCAGCAACGCCGCGUGAGUGAAGAAGUAUUUCGGUAUGUAAAGCUCUAUCAGCAGGGAAGAAAGUGACGGUACCUGACUAAGAAGCCCCGGCUAACUACGUGCCAGCAGCCGCGGUAAUACGUAGGGGGCAAGCGUUAUCCGGAUUUACUGGGUGUAAAGGGAGCGUAGACGGCACAGCAAGUCUGAAGUGAAAUCCCCGGGCUCAACCCGGGAACUGCUUUGGAAACUGUUGGGCUAGAGUGCUGGAGAGGCAAGCGGAAUUCCUAGUGUAGCGGUGAAAUGCGUAGAUAUUAGGAGGAACACCAGUGGCGAAGGCGGCUUGCUGGACAGUAACUGACGUUGAGGCUCGAAAGCGUGGGGAGCAAACAGGAUUAGAUACCCUGGUAGUCCACGCCGUAAACGAUGCAUACUAGGUGUCGGGGAGCAAAGCUUUCCGGUGCCGCCGCAAACGCAGUAAGUAUGCCACCUG